rnacentral:rRNA from 1 species
GGGGGAAAGCGACCUGCAAUACAUGCAGUCGAGCGAAUGGAUUAAGAGCUUGCUCUUAUGAAGUUAGCCGCGGACGGGUGAGUAACACGUGGGUAACCUGCCCAUAAGACUGGGAUAACUCCGGGAAACCGGGGCUAAUACCGGAUAACAUUUUGAACCGCAUGGUUCGAAAUUGAAAGGCGGCUUCGGCUGUCACUUAUGGAUGGACCCGCGUCGCAUUAGCUAGUUGGUGAGGUAACGGCUCACCAAGGCAACGAUGCGUAGCCGACCUGAGAGGGUGAUCGGCCACACUGGGACUGAGACACGGCCCAGACUCCUACGGGAGGCAGCAGUAGGGAAUCUUCCGCAAUGGACGAAAGUCUGACGGAGCAACGCCGCGUGAGUGAUGAAGGCUUUCGGGUCGUAAAACUCUGUUGUUAGGGAAGAACAAGUGCUAGUUGAAUAAGCUGGCACCUUGACGGUACCUAACCAGAAAGCCACGGCUAACUACGUGCCAGCAGCCGCGGUAAUACGUAGGUGGCAAGCGUUAUCCGGAAUUAUUGGGGCGUAAAGCGCGCGCAGGUGGUUUUCUUUAAGUCUGAUGUGAAAAGCCCCGGCUCAACCGUGGAGGGUCUUGGAAACUGGGGAGACUUGAGUGCAAAAAGAGGGAAGAGGGAAUUCCAUGUUGUAACGGGGAAAAUGCGUAGAGAUAUGGGAGGAACACCCGUGGCCAAAGGCGACUUUUCUGGGUCUGUAACCUGACCCUGGGGCGCGAAAGAC